GAACAUGGUCUUGCCCGUGCCCUGAAGGGGGGAGAAAAUGAUUGGCAUCAGGUGACGUGUAACCUUGCGGUCGAGUGCCUUUUGUUUCACCGCCCAGAUAAAGCUUUGAAGAACGAUAGCAGCCAGCAGUCCUUCAACCUCAAAAAGGUCGUUAAGGCGCUCCCACUCUCGGAUCGCGGCGCCUUUAUCGUGUUGCUGAUACUCGUCCAUAAUCGCGCUAACGACCUGUGCGAAACGUGCGUCGCGCUG
rnacentral:misc_RNA from 1 species